AUGAUCUCUUGGGCAGCACAUAUACUAAAAUUAGGACAAUAGAGAGACAAUUAACAUAGCCUCUGAGCAAGGAUGGCAUACAAAUUCAUGAAGAAUUCUAUAGUUUU
ensembl:snRNA U6 U6 spliceosomal RNA